UGAAUUUUCAGUACAAAACCCAACAGUCUCAUGCAAAACAGAUGAGUUGCUCACUGUAAGUCAUGCCCCCACCUAAGAGAUGUAACUUGGAAAAAAAACAAACAAACACAAUGUUUGAGAGUUGCAAGGUAAGUUUUAUUUGGCAGCAAAAUGAAGACAAUAUCCAAGGAGACAACAUUUCAGAUAGCUCUGAGAAACUGCUCCAAAGUAGUAGGGGGGAAAUCAGUAAAUACGUGAUUCUGGUGAAGGGGGAGUGCAUGCAAUCAAGCACAUAUGUUUUGCAGGCUUCUGCUAGUCACGAGGAACACUUGUCACCAUGAAGGAUUUUGGUGCUUUUCUAGACAAGAGGAGAUACAAGAAUCCGGCUCAUAAAAUCAGCACCUAAAAAUAUCUAACAAUCUGAAGACCUGUUCUGCCAGUUUUUCCCAGAGCGCAAAGUUCCUAAUUUCUGCUCUCCACCCUAAACUCCUUUCAAGGAGUAUUAAAAAUCAGCAGCUGCAGCAGCACAUGAUUUAAUCCUUGUAGAGCUAGAUCGCAAGUGCCGACGGCAAGUGCCCAUUUGUAUUUGAUGAAGGCCUGAUUCCACAGGGCCAGGGGCGGGGUUGGGGGGGGUGACUUCUAGAGCCAACCGUCCUCUUCAGACCAUGCUCUGGGUGCCUGGGCUUCAGAAUUCCCGCACCAGCUGCUUUCUGGGUCUAUCCCAGCUGCUGGCAUGUGAGAUGGCCAGAGGGCAUUUCUACAGGGCAUAUGUGAGGAGCUUGGCAGUAAAGCUGAAAAUGGCAAGGAGGUGUGAAGCAGAGGGAUCCAGGCCCUUCACUUGCACUCUUGUCUUGGAGCCUGGCACGUCAGCGCCAGGACGGCUUGCACCUGAGCCUUCAGGUGCCCUGGAUCUCCCUCCUGGCCUGCAGAAAGGACUUGAGAACUUGAGCUGCCAUUGCAGACACUCGCCGGCAGGUGGCAGCACAGGAGCAGAUUACAGGAGGUCCAGAGUUGCGUGAGUCUAUGAAGCUCUGGGAGCUCCAGUUCACAGGGUGCUUUCACACCUCUUGCCCUAGUUGGAACAGUCCUAUUUUGAAGAUGAAGAAAACAAGACUCAGAGGCAAAGAGGCUUCUUGCAAGACAGAAAGUCAGGACUAACACAAGCAGAGCUCCAGGGCCCUGGUCUGUGUUUCCCGUGGAAUUCUCAAGAACCUACCACCCCCACCCUCCCCGCCCCGCCCCUUCUCUUUAACCGUUAUCCACUCCAGCUGGUGCCUCAUCUCUUAGUUGUUUACAUCUGUAGUCUCCACCUCCUCACUGCCCGUUUACUCCAGAACUCACUGCAGAGGACUGGAUUUCUUUUUAUUCCUUGCUCAGCGCAUAGCAACAUUUCUCCUCCCUUGAGGACACCCCUGCUGUACUUUCUCGGGGAAGCCCCACCUCCUUCCCAGCAUGCACUGCGUUAGGUCCCGCCACAGGCACCUCAGUUUCUA